rnacentral:rRNA from 1 species
UUCGCAAUGCCCGAAAGGGUGACGAAGCGACGCCGCGUGUGGGAAGAAGGCCUUCGGGUUGUAAACCACUGUCGGGAGUUAAGAAAUGCAAGGAUAUUAAUAGUGUCUUUGUUUGACUAAGGCUCCGGAGGAAGCCACGGCUAACUCUGUGCCAGCAGCCGCGGUAAUACAGAGGCGGCAAGCGUUGUUCGGAAUUAUUGGGCGUAAAGAGCACGUAGGCGGUUAUGUAAGCCGGUUGUGAAAGCCUUCCGCUCAACGGAAGAACAGCAUCCGAUACUACAUGGCUUGAGUGCGGGAGGGGAGAGUGGAACUUCUGGUGGAGCGGUGAAAUGCGUAGAUAUCAGAAGGAACGCCGGCGGCGAAAGCGGCUCUCUGGCCCAUAACUGACGCUGAGUGUGCGAAAGCUAGGGGAGCAAACGGGAUUAGAUACCCCGGUAGUCCUAGCCGUAAACGAUGGGCACUAAGUAGAGGGGUUUU